rnacentral:rRNA from 1 species
UGGGGAAUAUUGGACACUGGGCGAAAGCCUGAUCCAGCCAUGCCGCGUGUGUGAAGAAGGUCUUCGGAUUGUAAAGCACUUUAAGUUGGGAGGAAGGGCAGUAAGCGAAUACCUUGCUGUUUUGACGUUACCGACAGAAUAAGCACCGGCUAACUCUGUGCCAGCAGCCGCGGUAAUACAGAGGGUGCAAGCGUUAAUCGGAAUUACUGGGCGUAAAGCGCGCGUAGGUGGUUCGUUAAGUUGAAUGUGAAAGCCCCGGGCUCAACCUGGGAACUGCAUCCAAAACUGGCGAGCUUGAGUAGGGCAGAGGGUGGUGGAAUUUCCUGUGUAGCGGUGAAAUGCGUAGGUAUAGGAAGGAACACCAGUGGCGAAGGCGACCACCUGGGCUCAUACUGACACUGAGGUGCGAAAGCGUGGGGAGCAAACAGG